CCUCAAAAUACAGUUAAAGCCCUUAGAAAGGAUGACGUUUAUAGGCCAAAUGUUCGGCUAAAGAGUUGAUAAAUAAGCGAAUAUCUGACAAAUGUUUCCUCACCACAUGAAAUGAUCUGCCACCCUGGAGAGCUCAGAUCCAACGCACACCUGGCUCUAAUAUUCAGAUGUUCCUGAAGGCCUUCAUUACCUGGAUCAGAUGUGGUCAGGUGGAUCUCCAGGACUGGACCUAAGCGCCCAUUAUUCCACUGGUCAAAACAAGACGAACUUCCUUGUUUCAACAGGUUAUGAUGUUCAGUGAUAUAUUGUUAAGAGGACCCAGAGAACAGAGGAAUUCUCACACAGUUACGUCCAAUCUUAACUAGUCGUCUUCUCAGAUCUCAUACAUUUAGCUUCUGAGAAACAGCCUUUGGAUCAAAACAGUGGCUCAUUAAUGUCUUAACUCCUUUGUGUCUGACUUUUCGCUCCCUAGUCGCUGAAUAACACCCAAGAAAAGAGCCAGAUCUCAUUCUUCAUAUAAAAGUUAGAGACCACACUUUCAUUGAUUCGGUUACCAACUUACCAAGUGCAAGUUAUUUGUUUUUCAGUGUCAGGAUAACAUAUUUCCAGGAAUGACACAGAAACCCCAACAGCCAUCAUCCUUUUCAGUAUUUCGUGUGUUCACUCUUUGCCUUUAUUACAGUUUCCGUUCUUUUCAGAGGUCUUAUUUUCAGUUUUAUAAGAAAUCUGCAGGGAUAUUUUUCCACACCUCCAAAGUUCAGUCUUAUAAGUUGGUUGCAUUUUCUACUUCUUGCUGUCUAAGUAAGCUUAUUUGCAGAUUUACACUUACCUGAUCAUAAAGCCUUGGUCUACGUCUCAGAUCUCCA